rnacentral:tRNA from 1 species
GUUCUACCCCUUCCCCUGCUA